rnacentral:rRNA from 1 species
CUACGGGUUGCAGCAGUGAGGAAUAUUGCACAAUGGGGGGAACCCUGAUGCAGCAACGCCGCGUGGAGGAUGACGCAUUUCGGUGUGUAAACUCCUUUUAUAUGUCAAGAAAAUGACGGUAGCAUAUGAAUAAGCACCGGCUAACUCCGUGCCAGCAGCCGCGGUAAUACGGAGGGUGCAAGCGUUACUCGGAAUCACUGGGCGUAAAGGACGCGUAGGCGGGUUGGAAAGUCAGGUGUGAAAUCCUACAGCUUAACUGUAGAACUGCACUUGAAACUUCUAAUCUAGAGUAUGGGAGGGGGAGAUGGAAUUAGUGGUGUAGGGGUAAAAUCCGCAGAUAUCACUAGGAAUACCUAAGGCGAAGGCGAUCUCCUGGAACAUUACUGACGCUAAGGCGUGAAAGCGUGGGGAGCAAACAGGAUUAGAUACCCUAGUAGUC